AUUUCAAGCUUCUUUCCUCAUCGCUGCGCUUUAAUUUUCAGGUAUACAUUUCUUCAAGCACCGUGAGUAUCAAUCUCAUUCCCCUGCUAUAUAUACUCCUCACUAAUUCAAGAGACCUUUCUAAGUCUCAUUGAACUAACAGAUUCUCAUAUACUGCACAGUGUUAAUCUGAGGAUUGCUAGCUUCUACCACCAGCUUUAGUAACUCGCUGUCAAAGACCUUAACGCAUCCUUUUGUUCCUUGAUGACAUGUCGCUCGAUUUAAGAUCCUGUUUCACUGAAGUUACUUGGCGUGCAAGACUCGAGAAAUCCACAAACCCUUUUGUGUUUCAGUGGUCUUGUCUACAAUUAGUAAUCAUGAGGUACUAUCUACGUUCUCUCUGGUGUAAAUUAUGUAUUAGCUUUAUUAGAAACUAGAAAUUUAGUUAAGUCUCUUGUCUUAAAGUUACUAGCUGGAACGUACACAAUACAUUACAUAUAAAUAAUCAAGGUACAUAUGUAACUUAGGUCCCUCUCAAAUCGUUACCCGUCUUUAUUUUAAGUUGUUUAACCAUAAUUGUAACAUGAAUAGACAAAUGCAUAAGGAGCUUAUUUUGUUGAUUAGACUUUACUUAAACAAGUUGGAGAGGUGGUUGGUUUUGGUCGGAGGAGUUCUGAUUUGGUUCAAGAAGGUUAACCGGAAUAUAGUUCCGGUUGUACUGCUCCGACUGAUGAGAAGAUGACUCGUAAACCGUCCCUUGUUGAU
rnacentral:lncRNA from 1 species